GACGAACGCUGGCGGCGUGCUUAACACAUGCAAGUCGCACGAAGUGGCGAACGGGUGAGUAAUACGUGGGUAACCUGCCCUCCUUUUUGGGAUAAGCCUUGGAAACGGGGUCUAAUACUGACUAAAGGGGGAUGGGCUCGCGGCCUCGCAGCUUGUUGGUGGGGUGAUGGCCUACCAGGGCGGUGACGGGUAGCCGGCCUGAGAGGGUGACCGGCCACAUUGGGACUGAGAUACGGCCCAGACUCCUACGGGAGGCAGCAGUGGGGAAUAUUGCACAAUGGGCGCAAGCCUGAUGCAGCCAUGCCGCGUGUAUGAAGAAGGCCUUCGGGUUGUAAAGUACUGUCAGCGAGGAGGCGUUACUCGCAGAAGAAGCACCGGCUAACUCCGUGCCAGCCGCCGCGGUAAUUC
rnacentral:rRNA from 1 species